rnacentral:tRNA from 1 species
GCGGGGGUUCCGGAGUGGUCAAACGGGCAGGGUUGAGGACCCUGUGGCGAAUGCCUACGCGGGUUCGAAUCCCGCCCCCCGCA